CGCGUAGGCGGCUCGUUAAGUGGCUGGUGAAAUCCCGGGCUCAACUCCGGGCUGCCGGUCAGACUGGCGGGCUCGAGCACGGUAGAGGCGGAUGGAAUUCCCGGUGUAGCGGUGGAAUGCGUAGAGAUCGGGAAGAAUACCGGUGGCGAAGGCGUUCCGCUGGGCCGUUGCUGACGCUGAGGCGCGACAGCGUGGGGAGCAAACAGGAUUAGAUACCCUGGUAGUCCACGCCGUAAACGAUGGGCACUAGGCGUCGGGGGGAGCGACCCUCCCGGUGCCGUCGCUAACGCAGUAAGUGCCCCGCCUGGGGAGUACGGCCGCAAGGCUGAA
rnacentral:rRNA from 1 species